rnacentral:rRNA from 1 species
GUGGAAAGUGGCGAACGGGUGAGGAACACGUGAGGAACCUGCCCCGAAGACCGGGACAACAUCGGGAAACCGGUGCUAAUACCGGAUGUCCUCGCCGAAGCUCAUGCUUUGGUGAGGAAAUGGAUUCCGCUUCGGGAUGGCCUCGCGGCCUAUCAGCUUGUUGGUGAGGUAACGGCUCACCAAGGCUUCGACGGGUAGCUGGUCUGAGAGGAUGUCCAGCCACACUGGGACUGAGACACGGCCCAGACUCC